rnacentral:lncRNA from 1 species
CGAAACUUGAAUUUUUUUAUAAAAAACUUUUAAAAUAUAAAUAAUUAAUAUAAUCUUAUACAAAAAAUACUGUCCGCACCGGCGAUCAAACGGUACCGUGCCUGAUCACCGUCCGUCGACCAUCCACGGUUCCGGAGUAGAGUCAGGCGGGAGGCUCAAGAGGUCAACAUUUUGGGCGCGUAUCAACAUGGCUACUCAGCUCGCAGCCGUAGCGGCAUGGAGCGAACGACGUGACAUCGUACGUUCCAGGAGGCCUGCCAGUACGCCAUUUGGUAUCACGUCGGACACCUCUAGAUCUACCACCGUCCGACACCAUGCCUCAACACAAUCUGUGGCUGUCCAAGCCGUCCGUUCAUUGCAAUACCCUAUAUUUAAUAUAAAAUGACAAGACCCUAUCCCCAAAAAAGAUCAGUUCAUUGCAAUACAACCACCGACUACAUCAUAGCAGGUUCUUCCAAGCGAUUAAAUACAAUCACCGACGACGUAGGAACGAAGAAGGAGGAGUUCGUUUGUCGAUUUGAAUGGCAAGAGUGGUCUUUGGUAUGUCUUCUCAUUUUUUACAUUCCUGUUCUGUUUUUUGGGUUUCUAGUGUUCUGUUUUUCGCGUUUUUGCUUUGAUUGGAUGAUGUUGUGUUUUUACGGUUUACGGUGAUCAACUAAAAAAAUUCACCAUUGCAGACCUUACUUAAAAAAAUUCAUCCGCAACACAUAUUCAAUCAUGGGAAAAUUUGGCAAAUUAUUCAUCUCCAAAGUUAGUGUUUUCCGUUCACAUUGCCACACUGGAUACCGUCUCUAUUAAGCGUGGAAAGAAUUCAUCGAGGAACAUAAACUUGAGGUUGGGGAUGUCUGUGAAUUCAAGAUUCUGUUUCACAUUCUAUCGGAGAACACACUUGUGGUGAAGGUAUCCAGGCAC